rnacentral:rRNA from 1 species
UACGGAGGGUGCAAGCGUUAUCCGGAUUUACUGGGCUUAAAGCGCGCGUAGGCGGGCAGGUAAGUCCGUGGUGAAAUCUCUGAGCUUAACUCCGAAACUGCCAUGGAUACUAUUUGUCUUGAAUACUGUGGAGGUAAGCGGAAUAUGUCAUGUAGCGGUGAAAUGCUUAGAUAUGACAUGGAACACCAAUUGCGAAGGCAGCUUACUACACAAAUAUUGACGCUGAGGCGCGAAAGCGUGGGGAGCAAACAGG